UAAACCAGAAAAAACUUUUCUUUUUUUUUAAUUCCAUUACCAACCCCCAAUUUUAAACAAAAAGAACAGAUAGCUUCCCUUCUCUCUUCCCCUUCCCCCCUCUUUUUUACUUGUUGGAGGCUCGUUUUAAAAACGAAAGACAAGGGUUCAACUCCCUUUUUUAGACUCAACCACGCCGAACGGAGGGGAGGGCUCCGACAACGCGGCGACGGGGCCGGAUCUGGUUAUGGGAGUGUCAGACGCAUUGAGGAGGAGGGCAUGCGCUGGGUGUGGUGGCCUGAACAGUGGUGGUGGCGCGCGUGAUGGCCAAGGGCAGAGGGGGCAUGCGGCUGAACUUUGGUGGCUGCAUCUUGGGUUGCUGCUGAAAAACCUUAAGCAAGUGGGCUGUUAUUUGGGCUAGGGUUUGAUGUAAAUUGGGCUGUUUAAUAUUGUAAAUGGGCUAUUUAUUUUAGACUCUUUUUUAUUAUUUUGGGUUUUGUUAUUUUUUAUUUGUCUGGGCCAAAAAUUGGCCAUUACAAUCAAUUUGUUUCGAAAAAAAUGUUAAAUUUUUAAAAAAAUAUUUUAUUUUUUA